rnacentral:rRNA from 1 species
GUGUCAGCAGCCGCGGUAAUACGUAGGUGGCGAGCGUUGUCCGGAUUUACUGGGCGUAAAGAGCGCGCAGGCGGUCGGAUUAGUCGAGUGUGAAAGCCCCCGGCUCAACUGGGGAGGGUCACUCGAUACUGUUCGACUUGAAGACGGGAGAGGGACGCGGAAUUCCCGGUGUAGUGGUGAAAUGCGUAGAUAUCGGGAGGAACACCAGUGGCGAAGGCGGCGUUCUGGCCCGCUCUUGACGCUGAGGCGCGAAAGCCAGGGGAGCAAACGGGAUUAGAUACCCCGGUAGUCCUGGCUGUAAACGAUGGAUGCUAGGUGUUGGUGGUAUCAACCCCGCCAGUGCCGCAGCUAACGCACUAAGCAUCCCGCCUGGGGAGUACGGCCGCAAGGCUAAA